UAUGCCUAAAAUACCAAACACUAUCCAGCUCAAAAACAGGUUUCGUCACUUACAUCCGAAAGGAAUGCCAUAUCCUAUCGAUUCAUAUUCAACAAAGCUUCUAAUGUAUCAAGAAGAGGCACCUAAGUCUACCAAGUCAAGACACACAUCACAUUAUAAAGAUCCUUCACAUUCCAUCAUCAUCACAUAUGAACAAUAAUAGAGGAC
rnacentral:lncRNA from 1 species